GAAUAUUGGACAAUGGGCGAAAGCCUGAUCCAGCCAUGCCGCGUGUGUGAAGAAGGUCUUCGGAUUGUAAAGCACUUUAAGUUGGGAGGAAGGGCAGUAAGCGAAUACCUUGCUGUUUUGACGUUACCGACAGAACAAGCACCGGCUAACCCUGUGCCAGCAGCCGCGGUAAUGCCGAGGGUGCAAGGGUUACUCGGAAUUACUGGGCGUAAAGCGGGCGGAGGGGGUUCGUUAAGUUGGAUGUGAAAUCUCCGGGCUCAACCUGGGAACUGCAUCCAAAACUGGCGAGCUAGAGUAGGGCAGAGGGUGGUGGGAUUUCCUGUGUAGCGGUGAAAUGCGUAGAUAUAGGAAGGAACACCAGUGGCGAAGGCGACCACCUGGGCUCAUACUGACACUGAGGUGCGAAAGCGUGGGGAGCAAACAG
rnacentral:rRNA from 1 species